rnacentral:lncRNA from 1 species
UUAAGCAAUCGUAAAGUAAUUCAUGUAAGAAUCACCCUAUCGGAGGCCGAUCAAUAAACUAUAUGCAUUUAAAUAGUUUCUGAAGUUAAAUUGAAUUUUUAACUCUGAUAUUUAACUAAAAUGAAAUUUUACAAUAUAUAAUAACAAGAAGUCUUAAUAUAUAAAGACAAAAAAAGAAAGAAAAUAAAAACACAAGGUGGGGGCGGC